rnacentral:lncRNA from 1 species
CCCCCCUUUGAUGUCCUUGAUUAGCUUGGAUUUCCUUGUUUAACUUGGAUAAAUAAGAAAACAAAUUUCCUCCUUUGUUGCUGAUUUAAUUACUUUCCUUCCUAAGUUAGGAAAAGCAUUAAAUAGCCCUCCCCUCUUUAGGAAUAAAUUGCUGACUUUUUAUCCUUGUAGCAUUAUGAAAAAUAACAAGCCAAACAAGGCUGGU